UGGUCAAGUUAUUAAGGGUGCAGGGCGGAUGCCUUGGCACUAGGAGCCGAUGAAGGACGUGAUAAGCUGCGAUAAGCUUCGGGGAGUUGCACGUAAACUUUGAUCCGAAGAUUUCCGAAUGAGGAAACUCACUUAGAGUAAUGUCUAAGUAUCAUUAAGUGAAUACAUAGCUUAAUGAGGGGAACUCAGGGAACUGAAACAUCUAAGUACCUGAAGGAAGAGAAAGAAAUUCGAUUCCGUAAGUAGCGGCGAGCGAACGCGGAUUAGCCCAAACCAAUAAAGUUUUCUUUAUUGGGGUUGCGGACAUAUCAUAACGAAGAGGUAUCGUAAUUGAAGAGGUUUGGAAAGACGCACCACAGAAGGUAAUAGUCCUGUAUGUUAAACGAGAAGACUGUAGAUAUGAUCCAGAGUACCACGGGACACGUGAAACCCUGUGGGAAGCAGGAGGGACCACCCUCCAAGGCUAAAUACUACCUAGUGACCGAUAGCGUAUAGUACCGGGAGGGAAAGGUGAAAAGAACCCCGGGAGGGGAGUGAAAUAGAACCUGAAACCCUGCACUUACAAGCUGUGGAAGCACAUUUCUUGUGUGACCGCGUACUUUUUGUAGAACGGGCCAACGAGUUACGUUAAGUAGCAAGGUUAAGCACUUAAGGUG
rnacentral:rRNA from 1 species